AGUGAACGCUGGCGGCAGGCCUAACACAUGCAAGUCGAGCGGCAGCGCGUCCGACCACCCUCGGGUGGUCGGAUGGCGGCGAGCGGCGGACGGGUGAGGAAUGCAUCGGAAUCUGCCUCGUUGUGGGGGAUAACGUAGGGAAACUUACGCUAAUACCGCAUACGACCUACGGGUGAAAGUGGGGGACCUUCGGGCCUCACGCGAUGAGAUGAGCCGAUGCCGGAUUAGCUAGUUGGCGGGGUAAAGGCCCACCAAGGCGACGAUCCGUAGCUGGUCUGAGAGGAUGAUCAGCCACACUGGAACUGAGACACGGUCCAGACUCCUACGGGAGGCAGCAGUGGGGAAUAUUGGACAAUGGGGGCAACCCUGAUCCAGCCAUGCCGCGUGUGUGAAGAAGGCCUUCGGUUGUAAGCACUUCGUUGGGUAG
rnacentral:rRNA from 1 species